rnacentral:hammerhead_ribozyme from 1 species
GUACGGAUGAGGAGUCCCAUACUAGGACGAAACGGCCGUUCAGUAU